GACGAACGCUGGCGGCGUGCCUAAUACAUGCAAGUCGAACGCUUCUUUCCUCCCGAGUGCUUGCACUCAAUUGGAAAGAGGAGUGGCGGACGGGUGAGUAACACGUGGGUAACCUACCCAUCAGAGGGGGAUAACACUUGGAAACAGGUUCUAAUACCGCAUAACAGUUUAUGCCGCAUGGCAUAAGAGUGAAAGGCGCUUUCGGGUGUCGCUGAUGGAUGGACCCGCGGUGCAUUAGCUAGUUGGUGAGGUAACGGCUCACCAAGGCCACGAUGCAUAGCCGACCUGAGAGGGUGAUCGGCCACACUGGGACUGAGACACGGCCCAGACUCCUACGGGAGGCAGCAGUAGGGAAUCGUCGGCAAUGGACGAAAGUCUGACCGAGCAACGCCGCGUGAGUGAAGAGGGUUUUCGGAUCGUAAAACUCUGUUGUUAGAGAAGAACAAGGACGUUAGUAACUGAACGUCCCCUGACGGUAUCUAACCAGAAAGCCACGGCUAACUACGUG
rnacentral:rRNA from 1 species